rnacentral:rRNA from 1 species
GACGAACGCUGGCGGCGUGCUUAACACAUGCAAGUCGAACGGAAAGGCCCUGCUUUUGUGGGGUGCUCGAGUGGCGAACGGGUGAGUAACACGUGAGUAACCUGCCCUUGACUUUGGGAUAACUUCAGGAAACUGGGGCUAAUACCGGAUAGGAGCUCCUGCUGCAUGGUGGGGGUUGGAAAGGUUCGGCGGUUGGGGAUGGACUCGCGGCUUAUCAGCUUGUUGGUGGGGUAGUGGCUUACCAAGGCUUUGACGGGUAGCCGGCCUGAGAGGGUGAGCGGCCACAUUGGGACUGAGAUACGGCCCAGACUCCUACGGGACGCAGCAGUGGGGAAUAUUGCACAAUGGGCGGAAGCCUGAUGCAGCAACGCCGCGUGCGGGAUGACGGCCUUCGGGUUGUAAACCGCUUUCGCCUGUGACGAAGCGUGAGUGACGGUAAUGGGUAAAGAAGCACCGGCUAACUACGUG